CACACACACACAGACACACACACACACACAGCACCUGUUGGCUGUGUUGGGAACAGGGAAGUGAAAUCCUGACUGUUGCCAACACAACAUGAGGAAACCAUCAGGCCUCCACUUCCUGUUGGCUCUGCGUCCGCCCUCCAUCUGCUCAUUUCCUCUUCUGACUGACGCCUCUUCCUGACUGUCUCUGAGAGAACACACACACACACACACACUCACACACAAACACAGACACACACCUCGCUCUACACCAUACGAGUGCCCUGCAGACUUUAAAAAACAUCAGUGCAUUCGGGACUUAGUGGAACACGGUGCCGCCAGUGGACACUAAUUGGCUGGCAAAGUGCACAGGAGCAUCUGCACCGAGCGAGGGGUAGAAGGUCCAAGGUCACAAUGGAAGACACACUCGAAGGUAGUUGAGAACGACUGUGGGUCAGAUCCAGACUGAUCUGUCCAAAGGUAUCUGAGCAGCUUGUGAUGACCAACCAACUGGACAUUGUGGUGAUAGAUGUAGGGUUCAGUAAGAACAAGGAAAACGAGAAGUUAAAAAGACACCAGGGUUUGAAAGUGGAGCGACAGAAGAUGUGGAAACUGACGGCCACAGUGGUGCCAGUGGUACUGGCAGCACUCAGGGCUGUAACCCACAGACUGGGAGAGAGAGGCUCUGGAAGAUUCCAGGAACAACAUCUGAGAUCUCUGUCCUGGGAACAGCUGAGACACUGCACUGCAGAACCUGCAGCCUCCAAGGCCAUUUUUAAAACAGGAUUAUAUCAAUAUUGAAAUUGUAUAAAAAAAAAUGUCAGUUUGAAGACUACGUUCUUAUUUAACAGUUUUUGGGUUAGAUGACAGAUGAUCCAUCCAAUACACCAUCUAUCCAUCCAUCUUCUAAGCCACUGAGAAACCAUAUUUAAGUAUUUAACACACGCACACACAGAGCAAGAACAUUUGAUUUGGAUUCAAACAACUUGCUGCUUAUGAAAUAAUGAACCACCAACUGAGUCAGAGCAGCUCUGCACCGUAUGUUUCAGUUCUGGCAGCGUGUUGGUACAAAGCUCUCUGAUCGGUGUCUUUCUCCUGCAGCAUCCCGCUCUCUACUCUCUUAUCUUUAUCAGUUGUUAACAUGCUGCAGAGGGAUAAGUGAGCUGCCAGCCUUAAAACACACACACACACACACACACACAGUGGACUACAGAAUCUGCACAACUCCAGUCUAAAUUAUUAAAAUUAUAAAACUACUCUGGAGCUGAGUUGGUUCAGAGCUGUUCGUCAUUUAGCUGAACUUCCAAUAUCAUCUCAUCAUUUUGUUGCAUGAUCAGUUCACAUAUGUUGCAUGAUGUUGGUCAGAUUCGUGCCCUGCAGCCGCCUGCUCAAAGUCCAGAGCACUGAGGCUGUGAGGAGGAUUUAUACUUCAUUAUGCACGAGGGUUUGAUUUAUAGUUCAGGGUCGACACAUCACAGAACGAAUGCAUCAUACAGCCGGUGCUUCGUCCAUUUAAUUAAAUUCUCUGCAGUAUU